rnacentral:lncRNA from 1 species
GAACAAUUCCUUCCUAGACUGGUGGGACCAUGAAGCUCAGGCACCUCUCCUAGCCAACCAGAAUUUCCCUCAACUGAGAACCAGGCCAGUGGAGGUGCAGGACCCAAGAGGAAUCCUUCCUCAUGUAUCCAUAUGAACUCAGAAAUGGGGAAGGUGUCUCAAGCUGGUCAUGAACCCAAAGAUCAGGAUCCCAUCUUGGAUACCACAUUACCUUAAACACUGCCUCAGCCAGGUGAUCAAGGUCAACGUCUACUGUGAUAAGUCAUGGUUUUGGUGUGUACCCUUGAUGUGAUGUGAUAAAAAUGGCACUUUACCUCUGUGGUCUUCCUCUGAAAAAUCCCGUAACAGCAGCCUAAUCAUGAGAAGCAUAUCAACAAAACUCAGACUCAGGGACAUUCUACAAAAUACCAGGCUGUCCCUCCCUGAAAUUGUCAAGUUCACCAAAAACAAGGUGAAUCUAAGAAACCUGUUACAGCCAAGAGGAGCCUAAGAAGACAUGAGGACUAAAUAUAACAUGGAAUUCGGGAUAGGAUUGUGCUACAGAAAAUGUAUGUGCUAAUGUGAGAUGUUAACAGUUGGAGAAACUCAGUUUUGGGUAUAAGGAAUUCUCUGUACUAUGUUUAUCUAAAAACAAUUCCAUGGUGAGCAAACUUAAGCAUAGAAAUGUUAAAUAAAUUGUCCAAAAUAGAGAAGUAAAUAGCAGUGCCAGGUUUCAAGCAUAAGAAUCAUCAACUCUGAACUUUAAACACAGCUCUGUAUGGUACUUUUGUUUAUAUCAAUGCCUAGAUAGAUAAAUAGGUAGAUAGAUAAUUUCCAAGUGCUAGAAACAAAAAAGGAACUAAAACUGAUAAAGAAUAUAAAUGAGGCCAGGCAGGGUGGCUCACACCUGUAAUCCCAGCAUUUUGGGAGGCCGAGGCAGGCAGAUCACUGAAGGUUCGGAGUUCAAGACCAGCCUGGCCAACUGGGGAAACCCUGUCUCUACUAAAAAAAAAAAAAAAUAGCCAGGCAUGGUGGCAUGUGCCUGUGAAGCAAGAGAUGUGAGAGGAAAAACAAAUUUUUCCUCUUUCUUUUGGUAUGGGCAGCUUCCCCCUUGAAUCCCUCCUCACUCCUUGUGAUUUUACCCUGCUCUGUAAGUUUUAUGAGUUUAUAGAUUCCUGUUUUCUGUAACUAGUGUCUGUAAGUCUCUGUAGCACCGUGGAGGUAAUGAGACAUGCUUGAGCAAGCUUAGAUUGCAGCCAUCUGGGCGCCAUAGCGAAGGACACGAGAUAAGGCUGUGCAGGCAUCUUGAGCAAACCUAGAUAACAGCCACCUGGCCUGCACAGCAAGAAUCAUGUGUAAGCUUGAGUUAGGAACCUGUCACAGUUUGAUUAACUGCCUUUGUUCUGCUUCUGUAAGCUUGCUUUCCACACCCCACAAGCUUUGCGCCACUGGCAAGCCACCCUCCUUCAGUUGCAUGAAUAAAAGUCAAGCCCUGUCUUCUUUUGUUGCUCAGCCUCUGGAUAUUAAUCCACUAAGCCAGUGGCAACCUAAAUAAAAUCCUCCUGUUCCACCCAUCUGGUCUCUCCAGUCUCCUCAUUCCUGCAACACCUGCAAUCCCAGCUACAUGGGAGGCUGAGGCAGGAGAAUCACUUGAACCUGGGAGGCAGAGGGCACAGUGAGCCAAGAUGGUGCCACUGCACUCCAUCCUGGGUGACAGAGAGAGACUCAGUCUCAAAAAAAAAAAAAAAAAGAAUAUAAGUGAAUGUUGACCUCAUGGGGACUCACUGGUGUUUCAGACAUCAAGACUAUAGGCUAGAGUUCAAGACCCAGUGAGGAGAUGUGAUAUGAUUUUGUGUGAGGCAAGCAUCAAAAGCAGACACCUGUGUGUAAAGCCCAGAGAUCUGAAGAGCUAACCUGUCUGUGAAAAGGGAAUUAGAUAAAACACAGGCUACCAGUUCACAGAUGCUAGAGAGAGCUUGCUGUCAGCCUAGGGGGAAUUCUCACCAACUGAAAAAUUCCUAUCAGUGUUCAAUGACAUACGACAUUCAUAGAGAUUCUGAAUUGCCCAAGGAGUUUCCAAAUUGUAAUUCUAAUCCAUGAGUUUUGGGCAAUUUAGUGGCUUUGUGAUAAGAAAGGGGAAAUGCAAAACUUCUCUUGUAAGACUCGUGGUGUGAGCUGGUCCUGAAGUUCUUGAUCAUUUUGUUAGCACCCAAACUGGUUUGUCAACAAACUUUGAGAGUCAAAAGCUUGAGAGACAUGCACAUCAAAGACCAUGACAAAAAGGGAAGAAAAGCAACAACAGCACAGAAG